AACGAACGCUGGCGGCAGGCUUAACACAUGCAAGUCGAGCGCCCCGCAAGGGGAGCGGCAGACGGGUGAGUAACGCGUGGGAACGUACCCUUUGCUACGGAAUAGCUCCGGGAAACUGGAAUUAAUACCGUAUGUGCCCUACGGGGGAAAGAUUUAUCGGCAAAGGAUCGGCCCGCGUUGGAUUAGCUAGUUGGUGGGGUAAUGGCCUACCAAGGCGACGAUCCAUAGCUGGUCUGAGAGGAUGAUCAGCCACAUUGGGACUGAGACACGGCCCAAACUCCUACGGGAGGCAGCAGUGGGGAAUAUUGGACAAUGGGCGCAAGCCUGAUCCAGCCAUACCGCGUGAGUGAUGAAGGCCUUAGGGUUGUAAAGCUCUUUCACCGGAGAAGUUAAUGACGGUAUCCGGAGAAGAAGCCCCGGCUAACUUCGUGCCAGCCGCCGCGGUAACAC
rnacentral:rRNA from 1 species